rnacentral:rRNA from 1 species
UACGUAGGGUGCGAGCGUUAAUCGGAAUUACUGGGCGUAAAGCGUGCGCAGGCGGUCUCGCAAGUCCGAUGUGAAAUCCCCGGGCUCAACCUGGGAACUGCGUUGGAAACUACGAGGCUGGAGUACGGCAGAGGGGGGUGGAAUUCCACGUGUAGCAGUGAAAUGCGUAGAUAUCAAGAGGAACACCUGCGGCGAAGGCGGGUUGCUGGGCCGAUACUGACGCUGAGGAGCGAAAGCGUGGGGAGCGAACAGG